rnacentral:rRNA from 1 species
AGUGUCGGAUUGCGGCGACGUGGGCGGUUCGCUGCCCGCGACGUUGUGAGAAGUCCACUGAACCUUAUCAUUUAGAGGAAGGAGAAGUCGUAACAAGGUUUCCGUAGGUGAACCUGCGGAAGGAUCAUUG